rnacentral:tRNA from 1 species
AGAAGGGUAAGUUAAAAAAACUGUUUGGUUCAUGUUCAAAUAAUAUGAUUGAGGUUGUUCCUUCUU